rnacentral:rRNA from 1 species
UACAGAGGGUGCAAGCGUUGUUCGGAAUUACUGGGCGUAAAGAGUGUGUAGGCGGUGCUCUAAGUUCGGUGUGAAAUCUCCUGGCUUAACUGGGAGGGUGCGCCGGAAACUGGAAUGCUCGAGCGUGGGAGAGGAAAGCGGAAUUCCUGGUGUAGCGGUGAAAUGCGUAGAUAUCAGGAGGAACACCUGCGGUGUAGACGGCUUUCUGGACCAUUGCUGACGCUGAGACACGAAAGCGUGGGUAGCAAACAGG